ensembl:piRNA 21ur-7091 ncRNA
UUCAACGAGUACAUUUGAUAU